rnacentral:rRNA from 1 species
CCUACGGGAGGCAGCAGUGGGGAAUAUUGGACAAUGGGCGAAAGCCUGAUCCAGCCAUGCCGCGUGUGUGAAGAAGGCCUUCGGGUUGUAAAGCACUUUCAGUGGGGAAGAAAGCCUUGGGGCUAAUACCCUCGAGGAAGGACAUCACCCACAGAAGAAGCACCGGCUAACUCCGUGCCAGCAGCCGCGGUAAUACGGAGGGUGCGAGCGUUAAUCGGAAUUACUGGGCGUAAAGCGCGCGUAGGCGGUCUGAUAAGCCGGUUGUGAAAGCCCCGGGCUCAACCUGGGAACGGCAUCCGGAACUGUCAGGCUAGAGUACAGGAGAGGAAGGUAGAAUUCCCGGUGUAGCGGUGAAAUGCGUAGAGAUCGGGAGGAAUACCAGUGGCGAAGGCGGCCUUCUGGACUGACACUGACGCUGAGGUGCGAAAGCGUGGGUAGCAAACAGGAUUAGAUACCCGGGUAGUC